AGAAAGCAUUGCAGUAACUUGCAUCCGGCUAAUAUGUGUUGAGGCAGAAUUUGCCGACUGUGCACCAGAUAUAAUUUGGAUUUCGGAAUUUAUCAAAAUGCAUUCUAAAUCAACUGUGGCAAACAUCGGUUUUGAUUGCUCGUAAUUUUUUUUAAUCAGCCAAAACUACAUAAAGAAUCGUCAUAGUGAUAUCUGGGAUUGUGAUGAAUCAUCCCCAUCGUCUAACGAAUGCUGACUGCAGUACAUCGAAUGACUAUUGACUGUGGUUAAUAUUAAAACCACAGCAAAGGAAAAGGAACAAAAAUGCUAUCCUUUGUGUGUUUACCUUGUUUCCAAACGACGAAACCCCCGGUUCGUAGAAGGAAGCUUCUCUGCAUUGCAUUAACUUAUUGUUACGUCCGGCGGGAAGCAAAUGAUUUCCGUUUCCAACAGGGUUACGACCCAGUACUCUAGCAAGGUUGAUCAUUUAUUGCAUUUUCAUUGGCUUGGUUGGCGACAAGGACAUUCGUGUUUAUUUAUAUACUAGCAUUAUUUGGAUGUGAUUUGAAUUCGAAAUGGUAAUUAUUUCCUUCGCUGCUAACGAUUUUGUCCCCGUGACAAAGAACGUGAACAUGCAAUCUACGGUAUUAAAGGUAAAGCAUACGAUUGUUUUUCACAAGUAAUGCACAGGUAUGCAGGAAGUACAUACACCUUCACUAAAACUAGAAUAGCUUGAAAUGUAAUAGUUGUUUUUACCGACAAAAGUAGAACAUCGGAAAUCAAAACCCACGCCUGUAACAAUCUAUUUACAAACAAAAUUAUCUCUAGGUCAAUUGCCGACAUGUAAAUUGUAAAUGUCUUCCAGUACAGCCAAUGCCCAUGAAGUCAAAGUACGACUGGCUAGA